rnacentral:pre_miRNA from 1 species
UUUGAUAACCUGAUGUGGGACAGGAGUUCUUUUCACUGUUGUGUCAGUUUAUCAAACCC